rnacentral:rRNA from 1 species
AUGCUGGUCUUGAGCGGCCCGAGAUCCACCAGCUUGGUCUUGGGCUAUCAUGCGUAUGGUAAAUUUGCCGCGGGAGUUGCAUGCAAUGAUAAAUUUGCCGCGGCAGGCGAUUUCAACGAAAUACUACAUGCACACGAGUAGGACGGUGGAGUCGCAAGACCACAAAGAAAUAUGCAAAUGUUCAGUGAUGCUUUGUCUGAUUGUGGACAAGAUGACCUUGGUUAUACAGGCGACCUGUUCUCAUGGCGUCGAGGCCACCUACGUGAGCGUUUGGAUCGAGCAGUGGGGAAUAUGCAAUGGGCAGACUUGUUCCGUGGUUUCGCUGUUUCAAAUGAGGAGUUUGAUAAAUCUGAUCACCGGCCGGUUCUU